rnacentral:rRNA from 1 species
AGAGCGAACGCUGGCGGCAGGCCUAACACAUGCAAGUCGAGCGCCCCGCAAGGGGAGCGGCAGACGGGAGAGUAACACGUGGGAACGUACCCUUCAGUUCGGAACAACCCAGGGAAACUUGGGCUAAUACCGAAUACGUCCGUAAGGAGAAAGAUUUAUCGCUCUAGGAGGGGCCCGCGUCGGAUUAGCUAGUUGGUGGGGUAACGGCCUACCAAGGCUUUGAUCCGUAGCUGGUCUGAGAGGAUGAUCAGCCACACUGGGACUGAGACACGGCCCAGACUCCUACGGGAGGCAGCAGUGGGGAAUAUUGGACAAUGGGCGCAAGCCUGAUCCAGCAAUGCCGCGUGAGUGAUGAAGGCCUUCGGGUUGUAAAGCUCUUUCGCACGCGAGGAUGAUGACGCUAGCGUGAGAAGAAGCCCCGGCUAACUUCGUGCCAGCAGCCGC